CACUGAAGAGAAGAUUUAUCUUUUCUACUUCUUUUAAACAGAUCAAGAAACUGGGGAGUGGAGAAUAGUGAAAGAAAUGUAAUCUGAUCCUACUAGCAGUGAAGGGCGAGAGUCCUUCCUUGAUAACCAAGAGACAAGAGGAUAUUUUCCCUCCACAUUGACAUCAAGUUUUGCUAUAUUGCUAGGUUUGGUUCAUAGAAUGAGCAGAUAAAAAACAAAGAAGUAGUAGUGAAGGAAACAAUAGAGAAUUCAAGAAGGUGAAUUACAGGCUGGGGGAAGUGACUAAUACCAAGGGAUUAGAACCUAAGAUAACAGAGUAAACUCUGCCCAUUAACAAGAAAAAGACCAGAAACUAAGAGAAAAACAUUCAAAGGAGGUAAGUAUUUUUUAGAAUUAAUGUGCUAGCUAAAGUGUUCAUGAGGAGAUGUCCAACUUUACAAAUAAUCAAAUAAAUCAAAUAUUUAAAACAUCAGUGUCACAGGGUGAACGACCUGGUUUGCCUAGCAUAACCUGUUUAUGAUUUAUAUAUCUUUGCAGUUAUCAUUAUCUCUUCUUAGCUAUUAAAAAUGCUCUGGUUUUGAUAGAUAAGAUUAUAUAUUUUCUUAUUAGCUAUUGUGUUCUAUGCUUCAGACGUGAAAUAAGUAAGCAGACUGUACCAAGUUGUUGAAAAGACUAUAGAAAAUUAAGAGCAGAUUAAUCUUGCUGAUGGGAGCGUAAGCUGUCAGUGCUACUAUGGAAGGCUAACUACCAACCCUUAUUGGGACUGUAACUGUGUGUUUUUCUCUCACACUGCAGUCCCACCGACUGUUUGCCCAAUGACACUGUCACUAUUUGUUACUGCAUGGCUGUGGUAGCAGGAAAUUGGGGGCACUUAUGUAUCCAUGAACAGAAAAAUUCAAAAUGAUUUGGAAUGGGAUACUGUGCAGAAUUUAGCACUUGGAACUAGAUAAAUAUAAAACAAAAAUCGUCAACUAUAAUGUUAAAUGAAAAAAAUUGGCGAAAUUACACUCGUAGGUAAAUAUCAUUUGUACAGAUUGAAAACACAGCCAUAAAAUAAAAUUAUUUAAAAAUAAGAGUACAUACAUAUUAAGGACAUAUACCAAACACAGUAGAGUGAAGCAAUGGGAAGAGGCAAUGGGGGCGAAAACCUAUGGUGAAGGAGAAAACAUGCAAUGUAAAUUGAGGAAGCAUGGGGGUGUGUGUGCAUGUUUAUACUGUACAAUCUUAUACUAUGUAUAGUAGCAUAUUUAUUUCUCUCUUGCAUAACUUAGCAAUAGGCUUUUAGUUUACAUUUUCUUGAGUCUUUAUCUUUGAAAAGUAACACUACAUAAACAU